rnacentral:rRNA from 1 species
AACGAACGCUGGCGGCGUGCCUAACACAUGCAAGUCGAACGUGAUUGGAAGCUUGCUUCCAUGAAAGUGGCGCACGGGUGAGUAACGCGUAGAUAAUCUACCUGAUGGAUCGGGAUAACACUUCGAAAGGGGUGCUAAUACCGGAUAAGCCCACGGAGUCCUUGGACACUGCGGGAAAAGGAGGGGACCUUCGGGCCUUCCGUCAUCAGAUGAGUCUGCGUACCAUUAGCUAGUUGGUAGGGUAAAGGCCUACCAAGGCGACGAUGGUUAGCUGGUCUGAGAGGAUGAUCAGCCACACUGGAACUGAGACACGGUCCAGACUCCUACGGGAGGCAGCAGUGGGGAAUUUUGCGCAAUGGGGGAAACCCUGACGCAGCAACGCCGCGUGAGUGAUGAAGGCCCUUGGGUCGUAAAGCUCUGACAGAGGGAAAGAAAUGCGGGUGGCUAAUAUCCAUUCCGCUUGACGGUACCCUCAAAGGAAGCACCGGCUAACUCCGUGCCAGCCGCCGCCGUAAAAC